rnacentral:tRNA from 1 species
AUUGAAAUAUCCCUAAAAGCUUCUAACUUUUUAUUAAGCAAUAAUAUGUUUAU